UACGAAGGGGGCUAGCGUUGCUCGGAAUUACUGGGCGUAAAGCGCACGUAGGCGGUUUGUUAAGUCGAAUGUGAAAUCCCCCGGCUCAACCGAGGAAGUGCAUUCGAAACUAACUAGCUAGAAGAUGGCAGAGGAAGGUGGAAUUCCAAGUGUAGAGGUGAAAUUCGUAAGAUAUUUGGAGGAAUACCGGUGGCGAAGGCGGCCCUUCUGGAC
rnacentral:rRNA from 1 species